GGCUGGUCCAAGUGCAAUGAUAUUUACAACUAAUUGAUUACAACCAGUUACAGAUUUCUUUGUUCCUUCUCCACUUCCACUGCUUCACGUGACUAGCCUUAA
ensembl:misc_RNA Y_RNA Y RNA